GGACACUUUGGAGAACGACAGGGAGAGGAAGAGAGAAACUGGAGAAACUUUCUGCGACACUUCCGGUUGAAGCUUCCGGUAAUCACGCCCAGGUGUGUUCAGGUGUUCUCAGGUGUGUAUAUCAUUGUUUCGAGCAGGUAAGCGGUGCGGACCGCGGGCAGCAUGUUGGAAGAAGAAGGAGCCGGGGAAGGAAACAUGAAGUCUAGAUACUCAGAACUCUGUUGACGUCUUCCAGGAGGAUCCCCGUCGGUGGCCGUCUUCCUGCUCAGGUAGGAGACUCAAAGCUUUCU